UACGUAGGCGGCAAGCGUUGUCCGGAUUUACUGGGCGUAAAGGGCGUGCAGGCGGUUUGUUAAGUCUAGGGUGAAAGCUCCCGGCUCAACUGGGAGAGGUCCUUGGAUACUGGCGAACUUGAGGGAUGCAGAGGAAAGUGGAAUUCCCGGUGUAGUGGUGAUAUGCGUAGAUAUCGGGAGGAACACCAGUGGCGAAGGCGGCUUUCUGGGCAUUUCCUGACGCUGAGACGCGAAAGCGUGGGGAGCGAACCGG
rnacentral:rRNA from 1 species